rnacentral:lncRNA from 1 species
UUUCACAGAUUUCCCUUCUAGCGUUCAACUUAGGCAGGCCAUAAACUAAAUCUUUAGAAUUCAAUUCACUCAGACUUCUAAAGUUUAGAUGACCAUACCUCAUAUGCCACAAAGCCUCAGUUUCUUCACUUGUAACUCCAGACAUGCACAUCAUCUUAUCACUAGAGAUGCUGCACUUGUAGGUCCUGUUCUUUGACAGAUU